rnacentral:misc_RNA from 1 species
CUCCCCCAGAAAUUAUAAUAUCCUUUGAUCGAUCCUUUAGCUCUAUGUAACCAUCAGGGUGUUUCACCCCCAAAUCCCCACUCCUAAACCACCCACCAUGAAAUGCUUCUUGGGUUGCUUUCAAGUUUUUCAAAUAUCCAUUCAUUACGGUGUUGCCUCUGAACAUAACUUCACCCAUGGUUUUUGCAUCCGGUGGUACACUUUUCAUGGUGACAGGAUCUUUUAUAUCAAUUUCCUCUAGUCCAAGAUGUUGCACCCCCUGACGAGCCUUGAUCUUCGCCUGUAUAUGGCGAGGAAAGGAAGCCCAUUCAGGUUUCCAAGUGCAAAC